UACGGGGGGGGCAAGCGUUGUUCGGAAUUACUGGGCGUAAAGGGCGCGUAGGCGGUUGGAUAAGUCAGCUGUGAAAACCACGGGCUUAACUCGUGGCCUGCAGUUGAGACUGUCUGGCUUGAGUGUGGGAGAGGAGAGUGGAAUUCCUGGUGCAGCGGUGAAAUGCGUAGAUAUCAGGAGGAACACCGGUGGCGAAGGCGGCUCUCUGGACCACAACUGACGCUGAGGCGCGAAAGCUAGGGGAGCAAACAGG
rnacentral:rRNA from 1 species